rnacentral:rRNA from 1 species
GAACGAACGCUGGCGGCAGGCUUAACACAUGCAAGUCGAACGCUUCACCUUCGGGUGGGGAGUGGCAGACGGGUGAGUAACGCGUGGGAACGUACCCUUCAGUUCGGGAUAACCCAGGGAAACUUGGGCUAAUACCGGAUACGUCCGUAAGGAGAAAGGUUUACUGCUGAAGGAUCGGCCCGCGUCGGAUUAGCUAGUUGGUGGGGUAAAGGCCCACCAAGGCGACGAUCCGUAGCU